rnacentral:misc_RNA from 1 species
AUGAAAUCCAAAUUGGUUGGUGUCCUGAUGCCGAAAGGAUUGGGCCCUUCCAUCAUUUCAUACACCUUUGUCGAACUGUAGGGGAAUUGGUUGAUGCCUAUUUCCUGCCUUUUUAUACUCUAAAAGUCUGAGAAUGAAGUCUUGGUUAAAACCAAAAUA